CCUACGGGCGGCUGCAGUGGGGAAUAUUGCACAAUGGGCGCAAGCCUGAUGCAGCCAUGCCGCGUGUGUGAAGAAGGCCUUCGGGUUGUAAAGCACUUUCAGCGGGGAGGAAGGCGGUGAGGUUAAUAACCUCAUCGAUUGACGUUACCCGCAGAAGAAGCACCGGCUAACUCCGUGCCAGCAGCCGCGGUAAUACGGAGGGUGCAAGCGUUAAUCGGAAUUACUGGGCGUAAAGCGCACGCAGGCGGUCUGUCAAGUCGGAUGUGAAAUCCCCCGGCUCAACCUGGGAACUGCAUUCGAAACUGGCAGGCUAGAGUCUUGUAGAGGGGGGUAGAAUUCCAGGUGUAGCGGUGAAAUGCGUAGAGAUCUGGAGGAAUACCGGUGGCGAAGGCGGCCCCCUGGACAAAGACUGACGCUCAGGUGCGAAAGCGUGGGGAGCAAACAGGAUUAGAUACCCUAGUAGUC
rnacentral:rRNA from 1 species